rnacentral:piRNA from 1 species
AAGGUGUCCAUUAGUUCAGUCUGAAAAGGC